rnacentral:misc_RNA from 1 species
GAAAUGCGAUAAGUAGUGUGAAUUGCAGAAUUCAGUGAAUCAUCGAAUCUUUGAACGCACAUUGCGCCCCUUGGUAUUCCGGGGGGCAUGCCUGUUCGAGCGUCAUUUAACCCCUCAAGCCCAGCUUGGUGUUGGGUGCUUGUCCCGCCCCCGCGCGGCGACUCACCUCAAAGUCAUUGGCAGCCCGCAUCCGCCGGCCACGAGCGCAGCACAGUCGCGAUCGAGGCCAGGCAGGUCGGCUCUCCAGAAGCAACCCCAAUAUUGACCUCGGAUCAGGUAGGGAUACCCGCUGAACUUAA